rnacentral:rRNA from 1 species
CAGUAGCCACGGUAAUACGAAGGGGGCUAGCGUUGUUCGGAUUUACUGGGCGUAAAGCGCACGUAGGCGGACUUUUAAGUCAGGGGUGAAAUCCCGGGGCUCAACCCCGGAACUGCCUUUGAUACUGGAAGUCUUGAGUAUGGUAGAGGUGAGUGGAAUUCCGAGUGUAGAGGUGAAAUUCGUAGAUAUUCGGAGGAACACCAGUGGCGAAGGCGGCUCACUGGACCAUUACUGACGCUGAGGUGCGAAAGCGUGGGCAGCAAACAGGAUUAGAUACCCGUGUAGUCCCUGUCUCUUAUAC